rnacentral:rRNA from 1 species
UACGUAGGGGGCAAGCGUUGUCCGGAUUUACUGGGCGUAAAGAGCGCGCAGGCGGUCGUUCAAGUCGCGUGUGAAAGCCCCCGGCUCAACUGGGGAGGGUCACGCGAUACUGAUCGACUCGAAGGCAGGAGAGGGUAGUGGAAUUCCCGGUGUAGUGGUGAAAUGCGUAGAUAUCGGGAGGAACACCAGUGGCGAAGGCGACUACCUGGCCUGUUCUUGACGCUGAGGCGCGAAAGCUAGGGGAGCGAACAGG